rnacentral:rRNA from 1 species
AUUGAACGCUGGCGGCAGGCCUAACGCAUGCAAGUCGAGCGAGCGGCGGACGGGUGAGUAAUGUAUGGGGACUGCCCGAUAGAGGGGGAUAACUACUGGAAACGGUGGCUAAUAGCGCAUACUGUAGAAUAACCCAUAUGGGAUUAGCGAGUAGGUACGGUAAUGGCUUGCCUAGGCGAAGAUACCUAGCUGGUCUGAGAGGAUGAUCCGCCACACUGGGACUGAGACACGGCCCAGACUCCAACGGAGGCAGCAGUGGGGAAUAUUGCACAAGGGGCGCAAGCCUGAUGCAGCAAUGCCGCGUGUAUGAAGAAGGCCCUAGGGUUGUAAAGUACUUUCAGUCGGGAGGCGUUACCUACAGAAGAAGCACCGGCUAACUCCGUGCCAGCAGCCGCGGUAAUAC